UCUAGUUUUCUUCAAAAAACAGGAAGAUAAUAACCAUGUACAUGAUGUGACCACUCAAAUCGCAACAAUCAGUUACUUUGUCGUUUUAUCCACAAGUGAUCAGGCAAUCUCUCUCGAUCAGACUUUGGUCCAAGAGAAGAAAUAAUUUCUCCCAGUCAGAGGCCAAGAAGCCAAACCCAGUAACCUCUGAUUGGCAAUUAUCUUAACCAGAAAAAACUUGAAGACAAUGAGUGGUUCUUCUUGGCCUAGUGAGAAUGAGCUUAAUGAAAUAAAGGAUAGUAAGCCUACAAUGGCUGGGAGAGGUCCUGAAGAAGUGAGAGUGGUGGUCUCUCCUUGUCGAAUUUGUCCACUUGGUGCUCGCAUUGAUCAUCAGGUUCUGUUUAAUAAUUGUUCUUAAUCUUUAUGUAGCGUUGUGAUUGAAAAUCAAUACCAGUAAGUUUUAUCAAUUCUGUACUACUGUAGAUUCCGUGCCUGGUUCGUAGGGUCUUUAAUUUCAAUAUCCGAGGCCCUUGAGACCCGAGUAGAAAAUUUUAGAUUUGUUUCUUUUACAGAACAAUAUAAACCAAAUAUAGGUAUCUCAUUAAGCUCUUUGACAUUGUUUCUGGACUGACACUUCUUCCCUCUGUGUUGUAAGAUGAGAGAUCCAUCUUGCAUAUAUCAAAGUCCUCCAAAUGUUUGACUAUUGAUGUCCAGGAUCAUAUGUGAAACUUCCUUUCCACAUCUGAAUGUUGUCUAUCUUUUCCUUUGGUGAAUAACUUGGACUCUUGGAGACAGCUUCGUGCUUGUCAGCAGAGAAGUAUAGUUAUAAGAUCCGGCUUGGCCCGGGCCAUGAUUCAGAUUACAAGUUGAGCAAGUCAAUUUUCAAGUCGGCAGGUUCACUCAGUUCUAUUGUUUUUUUGUCCAAAACAAGGACAGUAAAAAAACAAAAUGAAUAAAAAAAAUAAAAUUAACAAGGUUUUACCUUAGAUUUUGACUAGGUUACUUGGAUUGCAAGUUGACUCACUGGAUCAUUUAGGUUUGACAAGGUGAACUCCCUUGAUAGUUCAAAAUCAAACCCAGCCUGGGCUACGCCUCAGUGAAUCAUGUAAUAUAACGAGUUCUGAACAGUAAGAUAUAAAUUUGUUGCAAUUAGACCAUGUGAAAAGCCUGGUGCACAUAUUUAUAUACUAGGUGUAAGCCGAAUAAGAGUUCUUAUCAUGCAAAACACUUAUUGUAGUUGCCAGGAGAUUCUACAGGCUUGUUCUAUAGGAACAACUUGCUUCGCUGGCUCACAUCGGGAAGGCCUUCAAAAAUCCUAGGAGAUACUGUUUGUUUCAUUUUUUUUAUUCUUUCCGUUUAAUUUCGGAUUUUCAGUUUUAAUUUCAGAUUUUGUUUUCCUUUUUCCUCUCUCUGUUAAAAUGAGAGAGGGUGGUUUAUUAAGCUCCGUAUGGUGUUCAACUGUUCAUUCCAAUCUAUAUGGGUGUAUUUGAUGGGUUGGAGUCGCAAACCUGCUGGCUUUCGAAAUGGCUGAUUGAAAAUGAAUAUUUGGGUCUGAAAAACGGCAUAUUGGAUCAAUCAGGAAUGUUGCUUUCAAGCCAUGCUUGCCUUACGCGCAUGAACUGCAAGUAAGCUGAAUAUACAGAAGCGUAUAGCUAGCUACUUUCCUUGCGAAAAUCUUCUUCUUCUUCUUCAACGAAAAUUCAGACAAAACCGAGCUCGAGUCUUUUUGAUUGGUAGAUCACUAAAGAACACGAGCUUAUUAUUGGCGUUCUCAGGCUCGAAGAAUCCCUUGACCUCCAGCCCUGGAUAUAAUCUUCGUGUGGCAUAGAGUGUUAAGAGGCUGCUAGAGUGCUUCUCAAGGCGUGUUAGAACCCAAGCUAGCUAAAAGGGCAGAACAUUAUUUCUCAGAGAAUAUGCGAGGCUUUACUCUAUUAACUUUUGUUCCUUCAAAAAAAUAAAGAGGACAAAGACAAAUAAAAUCAAGUUAAUUUUUUUUUGUGAGUUUUUUCCUCACAAAUAUUUCUUUAAAUGUUUCAUAUUUCAAUCUCUAUACUUACAAUUGAAUAUGUAUCAUUGAUUUUAAUUAA